AGCGUACACGGUGGAUGCCCUGGCAGUCAGAGGCGAUGAAGGACGUGCUAAUCUGCGAAAAGCGCCGGUAAGGUGAUAUGAACCGUUAUAACCGGCGAUGUCCGAAUGGGGAAACCCGGUGCACUUCGGUGCAUCAUCGUUAGCUGAAUACAUAGGCUAACGAGGCGAACCGGGGGAACUGAAACAUCUAAGUACCCCGAGGAAAAGAAAUCAACCGAGAUUCCCCCAGUAGCGGCGAGCGAACGGGGAACAGCCCAGAGCCUGAAUCAGCUUGUGUGUCAGUGGAACGGUCUGGAAAGGCCGGCGAUACAGGGUGACAGCCCCGUACACGAAGGCACACAGGCUGUGAGCUCGAUGAGUAGGGCGGGACACGUGAUAUCCUGUCUGAAGAUGGGGGGACCAUCCUCCAAGGCUAAAUACUCCUGACUGACCGAUAGUGAACCAGUACCGUGAGGGAAAGGCGAAAAGAACCCCGGCGAGGGGAGUGAAACAGAACCUGAAACCGUGUACGUACAAGCAGUGGGAGCCUUCGUAAGAGGGUGACUGCGUACCUUUUGUAUAAUGGGUCAGCGACUUAUAUUCUGUAGCAAGGUUAACCGUAUAGGGGAGCCGAAGGGAAACCGAGUCUUAACCGGGCGUUAAGUUGCAGGGUAUAGACCCGAAACCCGGUGAUCUAGCCAUGGGCAGGUUGAAGGUUGGGUAACACUAACUGGAGGACCGAACCGACUAAUGUUGAAAAAUUAGCGGAUGACCUGUGGCUGGGGGUGAAAGGCCAAUCAAACCGGGAGAUAGCUGGUUCUCCCCGAAAGCUAUUUAGGUAGCGCCUCGUGAAUUCAUCUCCGGGGGUAGAGCACUGUUUCGGCUAGGGGGCCAUCCCGGCUUACCAACCCGAUGCAAACUGCGAAUACCGGAGAAUGUUAUCACGGGAGACACACGGCGGGUGCUAACGUCCGUCGUGAAGAGGGAAACAACCCAGACCGCCAGCUAAGGUCCCAAAGUCAUGGUUAAGUGGGAAACGAUGUGGGAAGGCCCAGACAGCCAGGAUGUUGGCUUAGAAGCAGCCAUCAUUUAAAGAAAGCGUAAUAGCUCACUGGUCGAGUCGGCCUGCGCGGAAGAUGUAACGGGGCUAAACCAUGCACCGAAGCUGCGGCAGCGACACUAUGUGUUGUUGGGUAGGGGAGCGUUCUGUAAGCCUGUGAAGGUGUGCUGUGAGGCAUGCUGGAGGUAUCAGAAGUGCGAAUGCUGACAUAAGUAACGAUAAAGCGGGUGAAAAGCCCGCUCGCCGGAAGACCAAGGGUUCCUGUCCAACGUUAAUCGGGGCAGGGUGAGUCGACCCCUAAGGCGAGGCCGAAAGGCGUAGUCGAUGGGAAACAGGUUAAUAUUCCUGUACUUGGUGUUACUGCGAAGGGGGGACGGAGAAGGCUAUGUCGGCCGGGCGACGGUUGUCCCGGUUUAAGCGUGUAGGCUGACUUUCCAGGCAAAUCCGGAAGGUUAAGGCUGAGGCGUGAUGACGAGGCACCACGGUGCUGAAGUGACAAAUGCCCUGCUUCCAGGAAAAGCCUCUAAGCAUCAGGUAACAUCAAAUCGUACCCCAAACCGACACAGGUGGUCAGGUAGAGAAUACCAAGGCGCUUGAGAGAACUCGGGUGAAGGAACUAGGCAAAAUGGUGCCGUAACUUCGGGAGAAGGCACGCUGACAUGUAGGUGAAGCCCCUGCGGGUGGAGCUGAAGUCAGUCGAAGAUACCAGCUGGCUGCAACUGUUUAUUAAAAACACAGCACUGUGCAAACACGAAAGUGGACGUAUACGGUGUGACGCCUGCCCGGUGCCGGAAGGUUAAUUGAUGGGGUUAUCGCAAGAGAAGCUCCUGAUCGAAGCCCCGGUAAACGGCGGCCGUAACUAUAACGGUCCUAAGGUAGCGAAAUUCCUUGUCGGGUAAGUUCCGACCUGCACGAAUGGCGUAAUGAUGGCCAGGCUGUCUCCACCCGAGACUCAGUGAAAUUGAACUCGCUGUGAAGAUGCAGUGUACCCGCGGCAAGACGGAAAGACCCCGUGAACCUUUACUACAGCUUGACACUGAACAUUGAGCCUUGAUGUGUAGGAUAGGUGGGAGGCUUUGAAGCGUGGACGCCAGUCUGCGUGGAGCCGACCUUGAAAUACCACCCUUUAAUGUUUGAUGUUCUAACCUGGCGCCGUGAUCCGGCGUGGGGACAGUGUCUGGUGGGUAGUUUGACUGGGGCGGUCUCCUCCCAAAGUGUAACGGAGGAGCACGAAGGUCAGCUAAUCCUGGUCGGACAUCAGGAGGUUAGUGCAAUGGCAUAAGCUGGCUUGACUGCGAGAGUGACGGCUCGAGCAGGUGCGAAAGCAGGUCAUAGUGAUCCGGUGGUUCUGUAUGGAAGGGCCAUCGCUCAACGGAUAAAAGGUACUCCGGGGAUAACAGGCUGAUACCGCCCAAGAGUUCAUAUCGACGGCGGUGUUUGGCACCUCGAUGUCGGCUCAUCACAUCCUGGGGCUGAAGUAGGUCCCAAGGGUAUGGCUGUUCGCCAUUUAAAGUGGUACGCGAGCUGGGUUUAGAACGUCGUGAGACAGUUCGGUCCCUAUCUGCCGUGGGCGCUGGAGAAUUGAGGGGGGCUGCUCCCAGUACGAGAGGACCGGAGUGGACGCAUCACUGGUGUUCGGGUUGUCAUGCCAAUGGCACUGCCCGGUAGCUAAAUGCGGAAGAGAUAAGUGCUGAAAGCAUCUAAGCACGAAACUUGCCCCGAGAUGAGUUCU
rnacentral:rRNA from 1 species